UAAUAAGUAUGUAUGAAAAACAUAAGUGCGUUAAAGUUUAGUUUGAAUUUAUUGAAUGGUCUGAAGCUCGCGCGCUAUACAACGUUGCCAAAUGUUCUGACGCCAUUUAAAUAUGUUGCAGCUGGAAAC